rnacentral:tRNA from 1 species
ACUUAAAUAGCUUAUAAAUAAGAGCGUGAUAUUGAAGAUAUUAAGGAAAUAGAUUAUUUUUAAGUG